rnacentral:lncRNA from 1 species
GAGGUUUGCUGCUGGGAGUGUAAAGUGGAGCUCAAGAAGUCGGCUAAUGAAGGGGAAAAUGCCAGAUGAACCAUGUUAUCCUAAACUGGCAUUGCACGAAGGGCAGCUAUUUUCAUCGAUGAAUGAUAGUAUUUCAGUGUUUGGUGGUCCUGAUUGGGUAUUGACAUCAAGGCUACGGAACAGUUAUGGUGGUUCUAUUUGUGAUUUUUCAAUUGGAGGCGACAGACUCUUCUCUCUACACAGUGAGGAAAAUGUUUUCGAUAUAUGGGAGGCUCGACCCCCACCGAUUAUUAUGUGACUUGGUUUCCAUUUUCUUUCUUUAUAGUUCAUGAUUUGUAGGUUAUAGAAGCAAAUGAGUGUCAUCUCGAAUUUAUCUGUAGAUUCAUAAUGAUACAGAAAGUCAACUGAUUGCUUAUCAACCACAUAGUGAAAUAUCCUUUUGCUCAUAUUUUAUAUGUACACAAUCUGAUAUCAUUCUGUUGAUUUUUCUUGAGACAACAGAAUAGAGUCAUUGAGAAGCCUCUUUUUCAACAAAAC